AUUGAACGCUGGCGGCAGGCCUAACACAUGCAAGUCGAGCGGAUGAAGGGAGCUUGCUCCUGGAUUCAGCGGCGGACGGGUGAGUAAUGCCUAGGAAUCUGCCUGGUAGUGGGGGAUAACGUCCGGAAACGGGCGCUAAUACCGCAUACGUCCUGAGGGAGAAAGUGGGGGAUCUUCGGACCUCACGCUAUCAGAUGAGCCUAGGUCGGAUUAGCUAGUUGGUGGGGUAAAGGCCUACCAAGGCGACGAUCCGUAACUGGUCUGAGAGGAUGAUCAGUCACACUGGAACUGAGACACGGUCCAGACUCCUACGGGAGGCAGCAGUGGGGAAUAUUGGACAAUGGGCGAAAGCCUGAUCCAGCCAUGCCGCGUGUGUGAAGAAGGUCUUCGGAUUGUAAAGCACUUUAAGUUGGGAGGAAGGGCAGUAAGUUAAUACCUUGCUGUAUUGACGGUACCAACAGAAUAAGCACCGGCUAACUUCGUG
rnacentral:rRNA from 1 species